GGGAUCCAUGCAGAGCCGGUUCAGGACUUGGUUGUUAGGAGACCAAAGCCAUCUGCCAGGAGUGUAUGCAAAUCAACACUCUAUCAAGCAUACACAGACUGUAAACACAAACCUGUGAUAAAUGCUGAUGGCGUUCACAUGCGCAUCAAGAAUUCAUAUAGUUAUGUGCUUUGAAUAUAUGUGCGCAGGAUCCCUCCCUGACCCACAAGUCUUGUCUCUUGGGAAAGGACUGAAAAACCUCAGGCCACAACCACUAAUAUCCUCAGUGCUGCAUGGCUUGUCUCAACUCUCUAUGGUCGACUCCAGGUUCGGACCUGUGCCACGAGGGUCACCCCUGUUCAUCAGUGUCCUCCUGUGGUCAAACAAGGAAAUUAUGUCCAAUACCCAGAUACACCAACAUUCCCUAAACUGCCGUUAGAGGGCUCAACAUUUUCCACUACUUUUCCAAACUUUGACCCAAACUCCCAAAAAAUUCUCCAUUUGGACAGCUUAACUCCUUACCAGUCACCCCCCAUGUUUGGCAUGGAGACAGAAAUGACAUACCCAAAAUAAAGUUUCUGCUCAUGAUUCUUUCUGACUAGAUACAUAAUCAACAUUUGUUCACAAAGCUGACACUUCAAAGUUUACGGUUCAGGAAUCAGAAUCACUCAGACUGUUAGGCCGGCGAUACACUGA